UUCCUUCUGUGAGACCUAAAGAGUAACAGGUAACUCUCAUUUUGACUGCAAUUUCUCUGAUUUCAGGAGUAGUCUCCCCUGUUAAAGAUCAAUAAUGGUGGAUAUACAAUGUGGGAUGCAGUCUGGUCAUCAAGAGAGAGUUUUGACACCCGUAUACAUGUAUUUCUACCAAUCACCUCCGUAACCUUUGUUGUGUUCAUCAGACAGAUGAUGGACCACUCUACUUCCUUUUACAACAGUGCCCCUGCAGAUUCACAAAGUUCCAAUGUUGAGUUUCCAUGACCCCUAUUCAUCCACGACAGGAAAAGGAAUAAAGUUGACAGGACUUCCCACACUGUCCUUUGUAGCAACUUACGAUGGAACUGACAGCAGUAGACAUAGUCCGCUUCAUCAAAGAUGCAGCGCUUACUUUCUCCAUCACUGGUGAAAUGGGAAAUGACUAGGGGACGAUCAUCACUUUGUAACUCACCAAUACAUUUUGCAGUCCAUCACUUCUCAUCUCCAGUGGUGGUCUCUGGAGGAAUGGUUGCAGUGCAGUCUUUGUUCCUUGGCAGCUUGAAGCCUUGCUUAUGAUUUUUCCUUGUACCCACAAUUGUCUGCCAAAAACAGCCAAUGCAAUGAACAAUCAAAUGCAGGGUUGACAAGGAUUAAAGAUCAACUUUCCUAUAUGACAGCAAAUAGUUUCAUGAUGCAUUGUAUAUUUUACUUGUGGAACAAGAAUUUGUUAAUCAUCAAUUUAAGAAAAGAGCACAAUUUUCACACUCCUGUGAGAAGAGAAAUAUAAUUAAGUAUUGAAUGAGUAUAUGUUUGAAUUUUUUGUCAAGCAUGUGAUAUUUACGAAUUGAAAUGAGAAACUUUCAAUAAUAGAAUUGUUUACUAGGAGUGUAGAUUAUUACUGUUAUUAGGUCACCCGAAUCACUCUUGUCAAUGUUGUGUUAACAUACUGACAUUUUGAGCUGCUUUUUUGAAACCGCUCUGGCAGUUUUAACCAAUUUUGGCAUAAGGCAUCAAUGGGUGAAGGGGAACAAAAAUUGUGAGUUUUAUGGUCCCUACCCUUGGAGCCUGAGGGUGUGGCUAAAACCAUCAAAAUUAAUGCAAUCUUUGAAAAUCUCCUUUGCUCCUGAACAUCACGCAUUUAAAUUGUUGGCAUGAUUGUAAUAAGAAUUGACUCCUCUACCAAAAUUGUGAAAUUCAUGGCUCCUUGGUCAGGGGUUCUGGUGUAAGGUCAGAACUCAUUUGAUUAUAUAGAGAAUAUGCAUUAAUUCUUUAAAAAUCUUCUUCUCUCCCUUUGUAUAUUUAUCAGACAAACUUAGCCAUGGUUAUGAUGAGCAAGAAUGCCUCUUUCAAAAUUGUUGAAUUCAAGGAUCCUGGGUCAGGGAUUCUGGUGUCAGGGUGGGCUCGCUCUAUUGAUUAUAUUGUGAAAAUGCAUUAUUUCUUAGAAAAUUUUCUCAGGGUUGUUUUAUACUCAGGUGACCGUUAAGACCCAUGGGCCCCUUGUUACUCUUUUACAUACCAUGGUAACUAUUUUUAUUUUUUUACUAUUAUUGCUGCAAUCAUUUGCAAGCAUUGUAGGUAUAUUAUUUUCUUCAUUAAGUUCUCUGCCAUAUGCAUAAUUUAUAAGCUUAAUUAUUUCACAUAUAUUAUAAUAUUACUUAUCAUACACAUAUUCUAUUUUGUUGUUAGUAAAUCAUUUGAAUGUAUCUACUAUAUUGUGAUUGAAAGCACAUUUGUGAAUUUCCCAUAUUUUCCUGAGCAAUAAAUAUUGAAUUGAUUUCAGCAUAUUUCAUUAUGUAUUCAUACAUGAAUGGAUUAGUUUACUCCUUACAUUGAUGAAUUGAAUACUGUUAGACAUGACCAGUUAUUGUUACACUAUCAUAAAAGAACUCGUUACUUAUACAUGUAUGCACAGUUUAUUCUUAUUUGACUUUUUGCUUCCUUGUUUUCAAGGUCUGUAUGAGUAGUUUGGUUACAAUAUACAUGUACAAAUACAGCGCUAGCUCUUACAAUCCAGUAUUGAAUUUUUGAGCUGGUUUUACAAUGUAAAUCAAAUUAUAUGCAAUUUAAAAUUGGACAAAUUUAUUAUUUCUUGUUUAAAAUGGGAAAUAUUCUUCUAGUUUCUUCAACACUUGAUGUAUGAAAGAAAAUGUGAAU